CAUGGUUUCUCGUGAAAUUUGGAUAUAACAUGCACUCGCGAGUUUUUCAAAGACCUCAAAUAGCACUCGUCCUUCGGACUCGUGCUAUUUUGAGGUCUUUGAAAAAGUCACUCGUGCAUGUUAUAUCCAAAUUGCACUCGAAACCAUGCUAUUACCUAUAUAUACUAAUUUAAAGCUAUAAGCAGACAUCAUCAACCUGAUACUCAGGGUUUUCACUUCCGCUAUCCCCCCAAACCCGCUGCAUCGAAAAUCCUGACACAGGCUGGUCACGUGGCACCCAGAUUUUGGGUGCCACGUGGAAGUAUGUCACUAGGGUGGGUAGGACAGGAGACAUUUGAUAUCAAUACAAAAAUAGAGACGCUUUAUAUAGAUUUUUAUAUACAGUAUACUGUCAACUUGUUGCUUUAUAUAGAUUUUUAUAUACAGUAUACUGUCAACUUGUUGCGGUUUUGCGGCGUUUGACGGACACAUUUGAUAAACGGAUAACGCUUGUUUCAGUACCCAGUUCAAAACUUGAGAGUUGAGAUAAUUUACGAAGGUAUGAACUAACUAUGAAAAGCAUUGCAUAUACUUUGUAGAAUUAUCUAAGAAUUUUGUAUAUCGCCGGUCAAAAACAGUACAUCGAUAUCGCUUACCGUCAAUAAUUAAAAUAGUGUAAUGGUAAAUUGUAAUGCUUUGUUUUAUUUGAUGUUUUCGUUUACUAAUUGAACAAAUG